CCCUUAAUCUAAGAAACUAGAUGUACAAUGUAAAGGGGAAUAAAAGCUUCCCUGCUUAUUGUCCCUGUACAUAGAUACGCGCGGCAAUAUCAUAACCAGACCUGCUGAAUACUAUAUUUUUCCAGCGCAGUUUCAAGGCUGUUCCGAACACUUCAUUCUUUACCAUCAGCAGCAAGCAGCGAACCAAGUUGAACUGGGGCUUGGGUUCCGACAACCUUAGAUGAGCCAUACACCGAGAGGUCAGCACCUUGUGCCUUCUCUUUCUCAAUCUGUUCCUUGAUCCAGAAGUAUGUAAUUCUCAGACCACCCUACACGAGUAAAAAGAAAAUGUAUGUUCAAAUUAUGCCGUAAACAGGGAGCAAACACAAAUUCAACAUCAAUAACUCCCGACUUUAUGGAAUCUUGGUGGCAUUAAGAAACUGCAGAAUGGGUACUCUCAUGCUGUUUACCUUCAACCUUAUGGUAGGAGCCCAACCAAGUUUCUCUUUGAUCAGUGUGUUGUCCGAGUUACGACCACGGACACCCUCUGGCCCCGGAAUAUGCUGGAUAGGCAGCUUCUUGUCCUCAAAGCUAAGAACCAUCUCAGCCAUCUCAUUCAUGCUAACCAUCUCAUCACUUCCAAUAUUCAGUGGCUCGCGGAAGUCCGACUUCGUCAACCUAUAUCAUAAAAGAGAAGACAUAUAUAUUACAAAUUAUAAAGGGGUUUGCAUGUGAAACACUACAUAUACCUAAUAAAAUUUGGCCCAAGAAAAACAAAUAAUGGAAGUUUAAUCUACCAUACAAUGUUGUAAGGUUCUGAAGAAAUGAAUCGAACGCAUAACAAAAAGAGAUUUCAACAAUGUAAUAUAUUCAUUUGUCUUCAUAUCUAUCACUCUCAUCCAAUUACUCGCAAAACGCCCUCAUAACACUUUCAGCAAGAACUUACACUAUAAUAAUGCAAAGAUUCAAAAUCAAAUCCUUCAAGGUUUAAGUUAUAUGCUGACUUUAUCAUAAUCAACUGAACUAGACUCCACAAAGCCUUGUGAAACAGAAAAACAAUUGACAACAUCUAAGAAAGUCAAAGAAUUUUGAAGCUUAAAGCCUCAAAAGAAGUGUUUUCGGCUAGAAAGUUUGGAGCGAAAAAGUAGUAAUAACAAUAAGGUUCUUACCGAAGAACACCUUCUACACAUUCAUCAAUAAAAGUAAAGGAUCGGGUCUGAAGUCCAUCUCCCCACAUCUCAAACUUUUCAGUGGCAGUGAGUGCCUUUCUGCAAAAAGCAGCAGGAGCCUUCUCCCUUCCACCUAUAAGGAAGCAACAAAACUAGGCCUAAAAGCAAAAAGGCCAUGCAUACAAGUCAGCUAUAAUUGCAAUUCAAGUCACCUUUCCAGGUUCCAAAUGGACCAUAAGUGUUGUGGAACCUUCCAAUACGGCACUCAAUUCCAAAGUCUUUUGUGUAGUGCUUGCACAAUUCCUCAGUUGCAAGCUUCUGCAAGCCAUAAGCAUCUUGAGGCUGCAAAUAAAGGCAAGAAGAGUAAAUUCAUUUAACACAAUUAGUACUAGAGAAAAAAAUCAUAACCGUAAUGUUAUAUACCUCCGCAGGCCAAGCAUCAGACUCCUUCAGGCUCACAUUGGUUUCCAGCUGCUUAAAUUCAGGAUAAAUACAAGCACUUGAAGCAUAGAAAAACCUGCAGAAACCCAUAUAACAGAUAGAGAAUUUGAGUAUUUGAGUAUAUCUUUAAAGCAUUUUGGAGAUAAGAUCCAAAUUUUCGAACUCAAACAAUAGUUACAAUAUGAAUUCAUACAUCUCAGUCAAAAUACGACUUUAGGACAACAAACCUCUUCACAUCAUUGAUCCGAGAAGCCUCAACCAUGUUGAAGCAAAUCAUGGUAUUAUUAUAAAAGAUGACGGAAUGGUUGGACUGAAUGAAGCCCAUUCCGCCCAUAUCAGCUGCGAGGUUGAACACAUGGUCAACAUUCUUAGUAACCUUCAAGCAAUUAUCCAUAACCCUGAGGUCAGCAAGAUGGAAUUCAUGGCAGAAGAUGUCUUCAGUCAUGUAGUCAUUCUUCUUCCAGUCAGAAGCAAUGAUGUAAUGACCCUCAUUCUUCAAUCUCCGGGCAAUGUGGGAGGCGACAAAGCCACCUGCCCCAGUGAUGGAAAUUCGGAGCUUUUCAGAAGGCCAAUAAGGCUCCCUCUCGAGGUUCUCGUAGGUGUACGCACCAUACUUAGUAUCACCAGCAGUUCCCAUUCUGAAAGAUUAUACACAUAGGAAAAAGAUUACCACUUUUGCACUAAAAUUUACCUCCAAGAAAACAACAAAACCCAAAACUGCAAAUAGGAAGACUAACCGACAGAACUGCUGCUUAAUAUCAUAUUCAGAACCAUCUAAUUAAAAUCCAUAUCCAGUGAGUAGAUAUUGCAUAGAAAUUUAAAAAAUGAAGAAAUUUAACCCCCCAUAAAAUUUUAGCAAAUUGGGAAAAGAGUAAAGUAAUUUAACGAGUACCUACAGAAACAAAAUUAGCAUCAAAAUCUCUAUAAAUUAACAUGUAAAAAAAGUAUAACCAGCAGGAUUAUAAUUGACCAUUUCAGGACCAACCCGAAUGAAAACAUCAUCAAAUUACAUGGAAAAACAAAUAUAUCUUUAAGAUUUUGCUAAAAUCAAGUACCAAUCUCUCAGUGUAUAAAAAGGAAUGAAAUUUUAGCAUACCACCCUGCCACACAACCUACCAAAAUACCAAGCAAACAAAAGGAAUGGUGUUAUGAACAAGUUUAACAACCACAACAGCCACUAUACAAACAAUUGAAACAACCCCAUUAAAUGUAACAACCCAUCAAACGUUACAACAAUUGGAACCAGCAUGGGAGAGAAAGAGGAGAGAGAAGAGGGUAAGUGAGAGAAACCCAGUUGGGAAUUUUACCCGGACAAAGCAAAGUUUGAAGCUUUGAAGCUUUGAGAAGUUGGGAAUAAGAAUGAGAGGCAAAAUGUUGGGUUCGGAGGAGAUGAAAGGGGAUAUGAUAUGGGUAUUUGGCCCUCAGCCUGUGAAGUUCUGCUGGUAUAUAUUCAUAAUUGGGACACAGUCCCACAGCAAACAAUAGGACGCCACUCGUUACUAAUUUACGGUUUGACCAUAAAUAAUUCAGAGAGAGAGAGAGAGCCAUAAAUUUUUUUUUUUUGAUAAAUAAAUAUUUAUAUUAACAAGGCAAAGCCCAAAGAGAACAUGAAACAAGCAGAGAGAAACUCUCACAAUACCAAAAAAACAAAGGGGAAACAAAGCCUAACCCACACUGGGGAAGACGACGGGAAAGCGUAGAGCCUAAUGAGUAGCAACAUUCCAACAAUGGAGGAUUGUCAUGUUAAUGGUUGAGGGCCAUAAAUAAUUGAGAGAGAGAGACCAUAAAUAAUUGAGAGAGAGAGAGAGAGAAAGACCAUAAAUAAUUGAGAGAGAGAGGGCGUCUAUACAAAACUUGCACAAUCGCAGAGCCAGUUGGUUAAAAAUAUUAUCGUCUUGCAAUUAAAUUUGAAUCUUGUUAUAAAUAGGCAAAAUUUAGAGAUAUAACAUUUGCUAGUGAUAGGAGUGAAGCGGGGGCAAAAUAUCAUACUAUUUAGUUUCUUAACUAUAACACAAAAGUAUUGCAAAUGAAGUGAAGAAUACUAAUAUUAUUGAUUUUCUUCUUUUCUAAGUUGUACCUUGAUCACUUGCGGUGUGCUCUCUUUAUAGAGUCAUAUCCAUAGGUUUACAGAGAAAUGAAGGAAUCACUUGUGACUACACCUUUUGAAAAAAGCAUAACAUAACAAACUCCCUACUAUUCAACACUAUUCCUAUGUGGGCAUUCAAUCAUUCUCACAAUUUUCCACAACACUUCCCCUUGGAUGCCCACGUAUCAACAUCAGUUGCCUCGUUAAAACAUUGCUUGGAAAAACCUAGUGGGAAGAAACUAUAAUGAAGGAAAAAGAGUACAACUUUAUUUGGAUUGUUGAUAUAGUGUUAAGCAUGCUUAUGUUGCCUCAUUAAAACCUUGAUAGGAAAAACUCAGUGGGAAAAAUCCUAGUCGAAUGAAAAAGAGUACAACUUACAUGUAUCAUGAAUGCUCCCCCUGAUUCCGCAUUUUUCAAAUUUAGCUGAUUGGUAAGUCGACGUAAUCAGAUACUCUGCAUUAGCUUCUGAAAUAUGCACUUUGGUAGAGAUUUGGUGAACAGGUCUGCCAAAUUUUCAUUGGAACGGAUUUGUAUGACUUCAAUAACUUUAGCCUUUUGAAGCUCAUGUGCACUGAAAAACUUUGAAGAUAUGUGUUUAGUCUUAUCGCCCUUGAUGAAUUGGGCAACACAGGCUGCAGUAUCUUCAUGAAUGACAGUUGGAGUGUUUGUCUUUGAAAGUAGACCACAUGAAUUCCAGAUGUGAUGGAUCAUUGAUCUUAACCAAGAACAUUCACGACUUGCUUCAUGUAAAGUAAGUAUUUCCAAGUGAUUGGAAGAUGUAGCAACUAGUGUUUGCUUUGUUGAGCGCCAUGAGAUUAUUGUAUCUUCAUUAGUGAACACGUAUCCAGUUUGUGAGUGGGCUUUACGCGGAUCAGAGAGAAAACCAGUAUCUACGUAUCCAAUAAGGAUCUGGUCAUUUGUGGAUUUCUCUGAAUAUAAGAGACCCAUGUCUGUUGUCCCACAAAUGUAUUACAAUACAUCUUUGCCUCCCUUCCAAUGACAAAUUGUUGGAGCAGAGCUAUACCUUGCUAACAAGCAGUGUUCUAAAAAUCGGUCUAGGUGGUGGCCAGCUGUCGGGAUUAACUCUUAAUCAGGUAAGGACUUAGGCGGCUUGGGCAAACCUUGGGCGUCCUAGGCGGCUGGUUGGUUAGCCUAAGCGGCUGGUUGGUUAGCCUAAGCGGUCUGGAAUUUCAAUUUUUUUCUGUUUUCAAACUUGAGAAAGAAUGAGUACAGUGUGUUCUGGAAUUUGUAAGUUUGCAGGUUCUGUUCUUGUGAAGACGAAAUGAGGAAGAAGAGGAGAAAAUGAGUUUCUCUCUCAUCCUUUCAUUCUCAUGUGACCACCCUCAAACUUUUCCAUUUAAUUUAUUUUUUAAUUUCGUCCAAUCAUGUUUGGAUAGCUAGCAUUAAGUUGACCUAUCAAAAAAGAAAAAUGGGCUGUCAAUACCCAACAUCAAGUUACUAUUGAUUGUUUAGAUUUUUAUAUUCAAGAUAGGGAAAAGGAAAGAAUAAAAAAGAAUAAAAGAUGGUCUCCUUUGUUUCUUUCCAAAAAAAAAAUGGUGUCCUUUGUUUGUGAGUCUCUUGUUGAUGUGAGUGAUGGGAACUAGGGGUGGAGGGGUAGGGUCACACCACACACGUGGUGGUUGAAAUGGGGAAGGAUGUUUUUCUAACGGUUUUGGUGCUCCAAAGUUCAAAGUGGGACACCAACCCAGAUAAAAUCAUAAAUAAAAAAGAGAAGAUUUUGUUGAUGAUAUCAAUGUGCGUGGUUUGGUUAGGGGAUGCCUAGCAUGGCUUCCUAGUAGUUUUAUCAUGAACCAUUCAACCCACUACGUGGGAUUUUUAUUUGUAUUUUUUUUUUAAAUUAGAUAUAAUCAUUCAAAAUGUCUUAAGUUAUAUGGCAUAUAUGCUUAAUGUGUUUCUAAAUUUUAGACUUGUUAGAUAUUAUUUUUGUAUUUUAUUAUUCUUUUAUUAUUUUAUCUAUGGAUUUUAUACAAUUAUAAUUUUUUAUGUGUCAAUAUGCAUUUAUUUACAAGAUAUACAAGAAAUUUACCUAAAUCCGCGCCUAGAUCAUGCCUAACCGCCUAGGCGCUAGGUGCCAACCCGCCGCCCGACUAGUGCCUAGCGUUUUUUAGAACCUUGCUAACAAGUUGACUGAAAAAGCUAUAUCUAGUCUAGUACAUUGUGCUAAAUACAAUAAAGCACUUAUAGCACUUAGAUAUGGUACUUCUGGACUAAGGACCAUUUCAUAAUCUUCUUUUGGACAAAAUGGAUCUUUCUUAAUGUCUAAAUAACGAACGACCAUUGACGUGUUGAAUGGAUAAGCCUUAUCCAUGCCAAAUUGCCUUAGAAUUUUUCAAUGUAAUCUAACUGGUGGACCAAAAUUCCAUUAGCACAAUGCUCAAUCUGCAGGCCGAGACAAUAUUUUGUUUUCUCAAGGUCUUUCAUUUCAAAUUCGCUUUUCAGAUAUUCAGCAGUUUUAUUAAGCUUUUCAGGAGUUCCAACUAGGUUCAUGUCAUCGACAUAUACUGCCAUUAUAGCAAAUCUAGAAUUGGAUUUCUUAAUGAACGCACAAGGGAAAAUGACAUUGUUGAUAUAUCCUUCUUUGAUCAAAUACUCACUGAGACGAUUAUACCAUAUCCAUCCAGAUUGUUUCAGCCCAUAUAAUGAUUGCCUUAAUUUGAUUGAGAGCAUACCUCGUGGUUUCUUAGUUGUUUCAGGCAACUUAAGUCCUUCUGGGACUUUCAUAUAUAUAUCAGUAUCUAAUUUUCCAUAUAGAUACGCGGUGAAGACAUUCAUAAAUCGCAUGUCAAGUUUUUUCUAAAACUACCAAACUUAUUAAGUAACGGAACGUAAUUGCAUCCAUUACAGGAGAGUACGUCUCCUCAUAAUCAAUUCUAGGUCUUUGUGAAAAGCUUUGUGCAACGAGUAGUGCUUUAUAUCUUGCAAUCUCAUUUUUCUCAUUGCGCUUCCUUGUGAAUACUCAUUUGUAACCCACGGGGUUUACACUAGGCAGGGUUUGGUGUCCAAAAACACUUCGCCUUUCCAAGGAAUUUAAUUCUACCUAGAUUGCAUCUUUCCACUUAGGCCAAUCCUGUCUCUGUUUACAUUCAUCAACAGAGUGGGGCUCAAUGUCAUCGCUUAAUAAGAUUUCAGUUGCUACUGUGAAUGCGAACAUGUUGUCGAUGAUUAUUUCAUUUUGAUCCCACAAUUCAUUAGUACAUGCAUAAUUUAUGAAGAUUUCUUUGCCUUCAUGUACUUUUGUCUCUUCAGGGACAUGUAUCUCAUCAAUGACAUUUUCUUUUUCUGAAAAUACAGAAUCAUGAAUUGUGGAUAUGUUAUUCAUUUUCUCUUCCUGAAUGAUUUCAUUUGGAUUCAGCUGUUCCCUCGUCUUUCUCUUUCAAAAGGCUGAAUCUUUUAAACCUAGGGGUCUACCACGUUUUAGAAGUGCACCGGAUGAAUCAUUCGUUGCCUUUAUUUUGUCCAACAGGGACAUCAAUUCUUACAGAUGCAUUUGCAGCUGGAAUAUGUUACUUUGUCAUUUUUGAAGCAUCAUUAAAUGCAUUUGGCAUUUGAUUAGCAAUACUUUAAAGAUAAACGAUCAUUUUCUCUUCAUUUUCACAUUGAAUGCUUCAUGGAUCAAAAUGAGAUAAGAUAGGUACAACCCAUGUCAGCUCUUGCCAUUCUUCUGGAACGGUCUUUUCUCCCCCUAACGAUGGGAAAACUGUCUCAUCAUAGUGACAAUCAGCAAAACGAGCUGUAAGCAUAUCACAUGUCAAGGGUUCUAAAUAUCUAAUGAUGGAUGGUGAAUCAAAACCCCCAUAAAUUCUCAGUUUACGCUGAAGUCCCAUUUUAGUGCGUUGUGGCGGUGUAAUAUGCACAUAAACAACACAACUAAAAACUCUUAAAUGUGAAAUAUUUGGCUGAUGCCCAAACACGAGUUGUAUUGAUGAGUAUUGGUUGUUGGCUAUGGGUCUCAAUCGAACCAAUAAUGCAGCAUGUAAAAUGGCAUGUCUCCAUGUAAAAACUGGCAAUUUAGUUUUCAUUAGCAGAGUGCGAACUAUUAAUUGAAACCGUUUGAUAAAUGCUUCUGCUAAACCAGUUUGAGUAUGGACAUGAGGAACAGAGUGUUCAACAUCAAUGCCCAAUGUCAUGCAAUAAUCAUCAAAGGUUUGAGAAGUAAAUUCACCAACGUUAUUAAGUCGAAUUGACUUAAUAGGGUAAUCUGUGAACUGUGCUUGCAACUUAAUUAUCUGAGCAUGAAGUCUCGCAAAAAUUACAUUUCGAGUAGACAAUAGGCAACCAUGUGACAAUAUGGUAGAUGCAUCAACCAAAACCAUAAAAUAUCAAAAUGAUCCAUAAGGUGGUUGAAUAGGCCCACAAAUAUCCCCUUGAAUUCUUUGCAAAAAAGAUGGGGAUUCAGCAUCAAUCUUUAGUUGUGAUGGUCUAAUUACCAACUUCCCUUGAGAACAAGCCUUGCAAGGGUUAUCAUUUGAGAUAACAAUGUGUCGACUCAAUAAUGGAUGUUCAUUAUAGUUGAUAAUGAUUCUAAGCAUCAUGGUGGAUCAUGGAUGACCAAGACGGUCAUGCCAAAUCCUGUAAAAAAAUUUAUCAAUAAACUUCUGGUUCAUGACAGUAUGUGCUUCAAUUGUCUUUAUGUAUGUAUAAUACAAUCCACUAGAUAAACCAUGCAACUUCUCCAAUAUAUGCUUAUGGGUAUCAUUGAAUGUAAUGUAUAGAUACUCCACAUUGUCUGCACUUUUUGUUUCAAUGUGGUAUCCAUUUAAACGUAUGUCUUUAAAACUCAACAAAAUUCAAGUAGAUCGAGUAGCUUACAUCGCAUUUUGUAUGGACAAUAUUGUUCCAUUUGGUAACAUGGUCUGGUUUUCCCUGAGCCUUCAAUCUCAUCUUAUUGACUUGAUAUUGUUGUUAUCUUUACUUUUGUAAGCAUCAAGCUUAAGAAAUAUUUCCGAUCUCAAAGUAUUGUAUGCGUGGUUGCGCUAUCUACAAGACAAAUACGUGAAACCCCACCCCCAAAUUAAUUUGUAAUUUCACUAAGUUUGGGAUAUUUUUCUUUUAAAAUUAUUUUUGGGUCUUAAUGUGUGUGCCCAUGGGGCCCUCAUUCCUUUUUUAUCUCCCAUACCCGGCCUACUUUUUCUUUUUCCCUUUUUGGACCCAUGAGUCCCCCUCUCCCCUUUCCUUUUAUUUUCUAAAAAAAGCUCUAUUUUUCUUUCUCUCUCUAAACUCCCUCUCAACUCUCUCUAUCUCAGCUUCUUUCGAGGGCUUUUCUCACCAACAAACAAUACCACAACAACAUCAACAUUUCCAUUAACACCUUAGUGAGCUUAGAAUAAAAAGAGAACACCCUGAACCCUUCCCUUUCUCUCAGCCUACACUAUUCACCAAAGUUCUCCAACGAGUUUCCUCCUCAUCUGGCGAAGGUAAGCCUUGAAGCUCAUCCAAAAGUUGUACAUCAUGUCUUACUGUAUGUUUGGAAGUGGUUUUAAGAAGUUUUAUCAAUGUUUGGACGUAGGAACCUCACGGGGGAAAACUUCCCUAAUUUUUUGGCGAGCACUGCCCAUUUCGAGGCAAUUUUUGGCCAAACCAAAGUGAGUUGGCCUGCAUGCAAGGUAUCAACCUCUUCGUCUCACUGAUUAAUACAACUUUCCUUUUUGAAUCACCCAAUUUCGUUGAGUAUUGAAGAAGUUAUAUCCAUUUGAAUCUUACCUAAUUUUCGACGACCUUCAAGACUUUCGAGGCAUUUUCCAACCAAACCACAACAAGUUAUUAGUUUUGCAAGGUACGAUUCUCUUCAUUUCGUCGAGAACUAUGAUUUUCAUUUUUGAAUCACUCGAUUUGGUUGAGUAAUGAAGAAGUUAUGAGCGUUUGAAAGUGUGCCAAAAAUCGACCAAAACCUUGGCCUGAGAACCAUAUCCCAACUCAGAUUUCCUUUGGGUUAGGUAGCCCAGCCCAAAGCCUAAGCCCAAAUCCCAAAGUCUUAAGCCCAAAGGCCUAACCCAAAACUCUUUUAACCCUUUAAAGCCCAAAACCUUUUUAGCCUAGGCGCUACCUAACCCACUAACCUAACCCUAACCUAAGUCCAAAACCCUAAACUCUAAUUGGCCCAAAACCCUUUAUGGGGAAUAUUCCAUUAGGGAAUAUUCUUUAUGUUGAAUUUUACGAAAUUUACCCCGGACCCUUCUUAGCAUAAUUCGACGUCCUGAUUCCAUUUUUUACGUCCGUUUUCUCAAAUUCAAUAGUUUUAAUAGUGUUUUAUUAAUUGGACCCUUUAUGCUUAGGGGCAAUUAUUGUGGCAUUUCUAUCUUCGCUAGUUUGCGUGGCUUUUCGGCAACGAAGUAUCUGUGAAUGGACCCGUUCUAAAAUGCAUGUUUUAAUAGUAGAAAUGCAUACAUGAAAAACAUGAUUUACUGAAUACGUUUUGUGAACAUUUUAUGAGAAACUGAUUAUCAUGCUAUACUAAGCUUAUUUUGGAAUACCAUAUUUUCUAUCGAACCCAUAUUCUUGUAAGAUAUCUGAUGGAUGACGAUAUACUAUUUAGAACAUGUUUUUAUACACUUUUUUAUAGUAUAGAUGAUGGAUGACUUUAUACCAUGAAGAUGCUUUUGAGAUAUAUGUACCUAUGUUUGGAAAGAUUAUUUUCAGUGGUUUUGUGCGUACCUAGUGGUCCCUAUUAUUGACCUUCGGGUUGGGUGUUGUAGGAGCCUUCAGGCGAUUGAUACUUAUAUUGAUCUUCGGGUUGGGUGCUGUAUGAGCCUUCGGGCGAUUGAUACUUGUGAAGGAAGUGUUCUGAAGGAAGAAUUCUAUAUGUCUUCGGAAGAUAUUGAUACCACUAGUUAGCACACUAUAUACGAGAUACAUUUUAUGAAAGGUUUUAUGGCAUGCUAGAGUUUUUGGAAAAACUACCACUUAUUAUGCUAUUAGUUUUCAUAAAACUUUAAGGGUUAGUAUGUUGAUAACUGUUUCAAUAUUAUAUUAUAUAUAUAUAUAUAUAUCAACUCAGUCCACUAAUGUUUGUUUUGCGCCCCCUCAGGACUUAGAAUUGAGGCGUACAAUUCCGGCGUCAAGGCACUUCCGCAUUAGCAUCUUCGAGUCCUCUCGGUGUAGGACCCAUUCUUUUAUUCAUUCGAUUUUAUAUUAUUUCUUCUAGUAUUCUAGUUAGUUAUAUGAUCUGAACACGUUCCUCAUUUGCAUAAUAAUUAUAUUUAAAUUUCUAUUAGUCUUAUGUAUUCAUUGUUCUCAGCAUUUGCAUUCAAUAAAUGGCUUUCGUCAUCCUCGGGUGUCAACCAGCACGUAUCUAUCUUGGUGUUCAGGGAAUAUCGGGAUCGGGGUGUGUCAAAUAUCUCCACCAUUGCUCUUAUUUUGAGAAUAACCAUAGUUUUUAUCCAUGCUCUCUGAGUAAGGAAAUCACAGUUAAAAACAAUUUAUUUAUAAUAAAAGGAAAUUGACAUACCACUUUGAUUGAUUUUGAAAUGCAAGCAUUAGACUACAAGUUCAGGAUAAUAAGAGUACAUUAAACAAGAAUGAUUCACUCAGACCCAUACACUUCAUUCCCCCUUUCCACAAUGAAGUCUGAUACAUCUAGGUGGGUUGUGUUUAAUUGCCCUGAUAAAUCGAACACUUGAUCAGGUAUAUCCAUCGGUUUAACCUGGUUAAGGAAAUUGGUCUCGACACCUUUCUCCUUGAAGGAGGCUUGAUACAAAUCUACCAGAUAUUUUAGGGUACGAUAGGUAUGCGCUCAAUGCCCAUUGCCACCACACUUAUGGUAAACUCCUUCAAGAUUUCUAUGAGUAUUAUUCAUAUGAGCUUUGCCUUUGUGGCAAUUUGCAUUUUUUGGGCCUGAAUUAUGCAUUGGAACCUGGUUGUAAAACUGAACACCAUGAUUCAUGCCUUUCCUGUUCCACUGACCUCGUCUGUGUCCACGCUCUCGUUUGCAUUUAUUGCCACGAGAUGAUAUGGUGUUCAUUUCGAGGGAAGCAACAUUCAUUUCUGAGAAUGGUGUAGAUCCAGUAGGUCAGGACUGAUGAUUCUUCAUCAGGAGCUCAUUAUUUUGUUCAGCUACAAUGAGCAUAGAUAUCAGCUGAUUGUACUUAGUAAAGCCUCGUUCUUUAUAUUGUUGCUGCAAGAGCACAUUAGAGGCAUGAAAGGUGUUGAAGGUCUUUUCCAGCAUAUCCUCAUCAGUGAUGGUCUUUCCACAUAACUUCAUCUGGGAGCUAAUUUUGAACAUUGCAGAAUUGUACUCAGCCACCGACUUGAAAUCCUAGAUCUUCAGGUGAGUCCACUCAUAACGAGCCCUUAGAAGAAUCACCAUUUUCUGAUGAUUGUAUCUAUUUCUCGGUGCCUUCUAGAGAGCUAAUAGAUCAUCAACCGUUAAGUUCUCGCUCUUUAGUCUUUCAUCAAGGUGACGACAGAUAAAGAUCAUGGCAUUCACUCGAUCUUGAGAUGAUGCAUUAAUUUCCUACUUGAUGGUUUCUCCAAGAUUCCCUGCUUCCAAAUGGAUCUUGGCAUCCACUACCCAGGUAAAGUAGUUCUUCCUAGUAAUAUCCAGGGCAACAAAAUCAAGUUUGCCAAGUUCGCCAUUUUUUUUUGAAAGAAAAAUGAGAUAUGUAAGAACUUGCAAUAAUAUGUAUUCUUGAGGGAUGUAGUGUUAGAACUUAUGGUUCAUACAAAUUUUUCAUUUUGAUUUUUAGGUCAAAAUGAUAAGCACUCAAAACUUCAGGCUCAAGAUUUACAUGAUUAAUGAGAAGGGCGAUUAUACUGCACCAUUCUCAUUGAAACAAAAUAUAGCAUAUGAUGGACAAUUAUUCCGCACCAUUCAAGUAGCAAGAAAAUUUAAAUAUGCAGGGCAGGGUGGGCGAUUAUACCGCACCAUCUAAAAUUGCAGUAAAAUUAAAUCUGCAACUCAAGAUAAGUGAUGAUACCGCACCAUUUUGGAUUGCAGUAAGAUUUAAUUUGCAGUUCAAGAUGGGCGAUUGUACCGCACCAUCUUUGAUUGCAGUAAAAAUUAACAUAAAUAAAUAUUGGGUUAGUAAUCAAGAACUACACCAAACAAGAUCAAAAAUAUAUGUAAUCGUUAUAUUGAGGAUUAGAAGCAGACACGGUGCUAGCAGAUCUUCACAAAAGUAUAUCAGGAAGAUGAGGCAAAGGAAGAAGAAGAACAGUAAAAUCCUUGGAGGAAGCAUUUUUCGGUGAAGGAAGAUGAGAACUGGUUAGGAUUAAAGAGUCAUGCUAAUAACGUGUUAUAAAUAGACAAAAGUUAGAGAGAUAAUAUUUGCUAGUGACAUGAGUGAAAUGGGUGCAAAAUAUCACACUAUUUAUUUUCUUAACUAUAACACAAAAGUAUUGCAAGGGAAGUGAGGGAUACUGAUAUUAUUGAUUUUCUUCUUUUCUAAGAUGUACCUUGAUCACUUGCGGUGUGCUCUAUUUAUAGAGCCACAUCCAUAGGUUUACAAGAAGAAUCACCCGUGACUACACCUUUUGAAAAAGCAUAACAUAACAAACUCCCUACUAUUCAACACCAUUCUUAUGUGGGCAUUCAAUCAUUCUCACAAUUUUCCACAACAAGUAUAUCUUGUAACUUAAAAAAAUUAUUCAGGUAUGACUAAUUUGUACAUUAAAAUUUUUUACCGUUAAAUUUUGAUUAUUAAAUAAGAUUACUAAAUUUAUUACGUACAUAUAUUAGAUAAAUUUCUCUAAAAAAAUAUGGUCACUUACGUAUUUUUACAGUCAAGUUCGGAUCUCUCUCUUUCAGUAUAUUGUUUUCGAAUCCAUAUAGCCAAAAUACGAACAAUAUUACAGUUUGUGAUUGAUAGGAUGGUUGGUUUAAGGUGAAUUUCACUACCUUGAGCCUUUUUGAGUGACUGAAUAACUACAUUAUAGAGCAUACAAAACAGAAAACAAGGAUUUGAUACAGAUUGCUUUCGAGUUUCACCGCAUCGUGUUCUUAUUGUUUGGCAUCGGAUUAUCGACAUGGAAACGAUUCUCGUGCUAGCAAUUCACAGACGUUGUUCGGUUCGGCCUAGUAGCAUUAUCUUACCAAAUGGAUUCAUUUGGUGACCGGUUUGGUUCAGUAAAAUAAUGUCAAGUGUAAAUAGUAAAAUGAAUAUGGUCGUUUUCUUAUACACCAAACUAAAUCAAAUCAAUCCAACUACGGUUUUGUUCGGUUCAAUUCAAGACUACACCUCUAACGUUAAAAAACCAAACAAAAUUGUUCAAAUCGAUCAAGUGCAAAUAUUGAACCAAAUUAUUCGAAUCAAUUUUUAUUUCUUCAUUUUUAUCUCUUAUAUUUCGUAAUAUUUCUCUAUCUUUUCGAUCAUGUGACUUGCGAGUGAAAGAUAAAAAUCUUCUUUAAUAUCAAAAUACUUUUGGCACUAGUAAUAGAGUACUUGUGAAACAGGAAAGGAUCCACACCGGACCCCUUUCCUAGGGAUCCUAGGUAUCAUGUGAUCGUAACUGUUCAUCGUAUAUCAUGCUGUCAGUUUUCGUUAGGUACUAUUUAUAUUUAAUUUUAAAUUUUAAAUUUUGAAAUAAUUUUUUAUUGCACGAUGUACGAUAAACCGUCAUGAUCAUGGGAUCCCUAUCAUCUUCCUUGUGAAACACCGCACAUGAUGCACAAUUUUACACGUGACCGGCCGAGACCGCUCCAGAUGGAAAGAACAAAGCCGCAUGUGAAGAAUGGCCAAGAUGCGAUUGAUGUGUGUCCCAAACUCCUUGGUGGAUUUGGUCGAGCCAAUUGCUAGAAGCGACUAGCCUACAAUGUAAGAAUAAGCAUAGCCUUUAUAAUAUACUUAGCCAAGAACACAAGAAUUUAGCAACUAAAUCACAACCAACGCAUCAAAUAUGUUCUACAUAUGCAAAUACUGAAGUAAUAUCUGCAACACAUACCUGCCUGCAGACUGCUUACGAAGUCUUUCCCAUGUGUGCUGUCAGAAGACAGCAGAUGGUGCUGCUGCAUGUGUGGCGUGCUGUCACUUGUAUUUUGAAUUGUAAAGUUGUAUGUUGCAGUGUAUAUAACAAAGCCUUCCCGUAAGGCCUAAGAUAUGAAAUUGAUUUGAAAUGCUGCUGUGUUUCUUAGUUUAACACAUACAUGGAUGAAGAAGCCAUGGACGAAUCCACACACAACCUUCUCCUCUCUGCAAAACUCAAUGCUCUCCAAGUUAUAGGUAAUUGGAACAAUAAGAGCGUAUUUUUGUGAGAGCAGGGGCUUGUGGUUUUUAUACUACAAAAUCUGGAUUACCCUAUAAUAAUCCUACAAGGAAUACAAGAUCAAAUCCUUGUACAAGUAUGAGUUCUAUUUUCGAGCCAACAAUAGAGUUUCAAUCCAAACCAAAGUUGAAUUAACUCUUAUAAACACAUUAAGACAUCUUUAUACCAAUCUAAAUAACAAUGAUUAUUACUAAACUGUGAGAAUCACACUCAUACUCUAACAUACAAGUCAUUGUACAAUGUCCAUAGACAUUACAUACAUGAAAAUAUCUUACAUGAAACGAAUUCAUCGUUAUAUGACGUUUUAAUUCAAUAAUUUAUUGUUACGUGUAAAUAUUUCUUUACAUACCCUGUGACGGAUUUAGAAUCUGAACCUUGAGGGAAAUGAAAGAGUUCAUGAGCAAUCCCAAUAUUAUCCUGAAAUUAACCUCUCCACCUUCCAACAUCCAAACCAAAGCAUGAACAUCCUCCCUGAUAGUCUGCCAAAAAGAAUGAUAGAACACUCCUUGAAAUCCAUCGGUCCCGAAGCUUUGAGACCACCCAUCUGCAUCGUUGCAUCUUGAAUCUCCACAUCAGAUAUUGAAGACAACAAAGACUCAUUCAUACUGUCCGAAACUGAAGUAGGUACACAUUCCAAAAUAUCUCCCCAAUUCCUGCACCCCACAGAAGUGAAAAGAUUGAGAAAGUAGUCAUCAAUUAGUUUCUUGACCCUAUUCGGCCGCUCCUCUCAAUGACCAUCCUCCUGUUUGAGUUUCAGUAUGAUUCCUCCACCCCCGUUGCAUGGUUGCUGGAUGGAAAAAGGUGUUCGCAUCGCCUUCCAUAAGCCAUUGAACUCAUGACCUUUGUUGCCAAAAGCUUUCCUCCUGCGCCGAUAACUGAACAAGCAAUUUCGCCUUCUCGUGAAUCUCAUCAACAUAUGCACCCCAAUUUUUUUGAAGCUCACCAAGUUCAGAUGUUAGCGUCUCAAUUGCCUGCGCUCGCAUCUUGAAUUUACUUUGACUCCACCUAAUGAAUUGAGAUCGACAGUGAUUAAUCUUGUUGUGCCAAUAGGCCAAAAUAUCACCACCACAAGGACGGGCCCAUCACGUUUCCACCAACCUUUUGCAUUCCUCCUCCUUUGCCCAAAAAGCUUGAAAGAGAAACAACCAUCGUCCUACCAUAUGCUGGCAAUUCUCCACGGGCCUUGCCUCGGGCUCCCACCUUCACUCAAGCUGCCCAACGUUGGAGGCCUAUCCACCAGCCCUUGGGCCCUUUCCCUUCGCCUGUACCCCGAGCAACCACCAAGGAUGGAGUUGCUCUAAUAGGGCAAUGGUCCGAACUUAACACAGUACCAUGAACGACCAUAGUGCUCGGCCAUGACACCUGCCAUAACUGAUUUGAAAGUGCCCUAUCUAAUCUCUCUUCCACCAACUCACCAUUUCGAGUACCACGCCAAGUAAAGGGGGAACCAUUGAAGUCAAGAUCAAGUAGCUUAACUGUAUGCAUAAAAGUAGCCAGAUACUAAGGCCUAUUGCACAAAACAGCCGAGCCACCAGAUUUCUCAGAAUCCCAAAGAAACUCAUUGAAGUCCCCACCACACAACCAAGGAACACUAGAGGAUCGAAAAUAAGUAGUCAUCCAUUCCCAAAAUUGUGCUUUCUCCUGCCGAAUAGCAGUUCCAUACACUCCUGUCACACACACCCAACGAGACUCCCCCACCGGUCGUAGCCGAGCAUUGAUAACAUGCUUAAAAUGGAAGCUGAUUUCCACUUCUAAGUACUCAUCCCACCAAAGACUAUAAUUUCUUCUGCUUCAAAGAAUUUAAAAAUUACAUAUCUUGUAUAAUUGUUCUGGAAAACGAUUGCUACACUCAUAUUUUACUCUUAAACUUCCCCUCUCGAUUCUAGCCACGAAAUUGAAUAAAUUAACGACGAAUCGAUGAAACAAAAACUUGUAGGGUAGAGCAGAAAGACAAAAGGGGAGUGUAAAAAUCACUUCCCUAUAAUAUGUAUUCAAGUCUUGAGCUUGAUUGAGAUGCGCAACGUUUUUACGACAAACGAUAGAUACUUGGCUAUCUCUGGUCAUAUAUCCUUCUCUUUCUAUAUUUCUCAUUAUGAGAGAGGAAUAUAUCUCUGAUUGUAUGCAAAAUGUAGAGGCAUAUGGUCUAAUAAUAUAAUGGUUGGAGCCACCAAAAAGAUGAAGCUCCAAAUCUUGAUAGAUUUUUCAGUAUGCCGGGAACACAGCCGAUUCACCAAGUGUCAUAAUACAAGUAGUUGGAUACUUGAAAGAAAAAAAACCUUUUAACCACCUGUAUUGUGAUACUCGGUGUACCAAGCUAUAUUUCCGGCUUCCAGCAACUUUGUUAGUUUUAAAUAACAAGAAGACAGCAACAAGAAGCAUAAACCCUACCAAAUCUUGAAAAGCAAUAUCAUUCGAAUACUCUUGGAAAGGAAAGGGGUUACGAAUUACAGGCAGAAACAAGCAGAAGUAAAGCUACCAAAGAUCAUUUUUUGCAAACAUAGAACAGCAUAAUUCAGACAAGAAUAUUGCAGAUGGCACGCUGGUUGAAAGCGGCCGGUCUCAACAUUGGGGAAAGAUCACGGUAUUGAACCCGAAACAAAAUCUUAUUCAGGAAAUAGAGUACAACACAUAAACCGAAAAAUGAUUCAGAAAGGGAAACAAAAUAUAAAGGCACUCCUAAGGUAGAAGAUUUAAUCUAAGAAACUAGAUGUACAAUGUAAAGGGGAAUAAAAGCUUCCCUGCUUAUUGUCCGUGCACAUAGAUACGCGCGGCAAUGUCAUAACCAGAUCUGCUGAAUACUAUAUUUUUCCAGUGCAGUUUCAAGGCUGUUCCGAACACUUCAUUCUUUACCAUCAGCAGCACGCAGCGAACCAAGUUGAACUGGGGCUUGGGUUCCGACAACCUUAGAUGAGCCAUACACCGAGAGGUCAGCACCUUGUGCCUUCUCUUUCUCAAUCUGUUCCUUGAUCCAGAAGUAUGUAAUUCUCAGACCAUCCUACACGAAUAAAAAAGAAAAUGUAUGUUCAAAUUAUACCGUAAACAGGGAGCAAACACAAAUUCAACACCAAUAACC
rnacentral:lncRNA from 1 species